CCCUCCAUACUUGGGGGUUUACAUUCACAUCUGUAAAUGAAGGAAACAUUGACUCUCAAAGAAUAUAUUUCAUAUGCAUGUAAAAGUAUUAAUGCUAAUGAGAAUUAAUUACUUAUGAAGUAUAAUCACUCACAUCCACUCUUGGACACAGCCCACUCUGAGGCAUCCCUUACAGAACUCAUUAUAUAGUAGAAGGCAUGCAAAUAGGGUCCUCCCUCUGCUGAUGAAAACCAGCCCAGCCCUGACCCUGCAGCUCUGGGAGAGGAGCCCCAGCCCUGAGAUUCCCAGGUGUUUCCAUUCGGUGAUCAGCACUGAACACAGAGAACUCACCAUGGAGUUUGGACUGAGCUGGGUUUUCCUUGUUGCUAUUUUAAAAGGUGUCCAGUGUGAAGUGCAGCUGGUGGAGUCUGAGGGAGGCUUGGUACAGCCUGGGGGUUCCCUGAGACUCUCCUGUGCAGCCUCUGGAUUCACCUUUGAUGAUUAUGCCAUGCACUGGGUCCGUCAAGCUCCAGGGAAGGGUCUGAAGUGGGUUUCUGGUAUUAAUUGGAAUGGUGGUAGCACAUACUAUGCAGAUUCUGUGAAGGGCCGAUUCACCAUCUCCAGAGACAACAGCAAAAACUCCCUGUAUCUGCAAAUGAACAGUCUGAGAGCUGAGGACACGGCCUUGUAUUACUGUGCAAAAGACACACAGUGAGGGGAAGUCAGUGAGAGCCCAGACAAAAACCUCUCUGCAGGAAGACAGGAGGGGCCUGGGCUGCAGAGGGCGCUCAAGAGACACUCAGCACAGGGUUAACUUUGGGACAAGUUGGUCAGGAAGGUUAAGAGCUGGUUUCCUUUCAGAGUCUUAGCAAUUUCUCCAUCUAACAGUUUCCCCAGGAACCCUGUCUAAAUCUGUGAUCUGGAUCUGCUGAAACUGCCUGUGUCACCUUCCUCACCUGUGACUUUGGGGGAGCUAAUCGUGGACACUCCAGUGUGUGGGAUUUCUUGGUGACAGCAAUUGUGUCUUCUGUCUAGGCAUGUCUAGGGCCGGCCAUCAGGAAAGACAGGCUGGAAUUCUUGGAAAGAGGUGCACCUGCCAUCCACCAGGGAAUUUUGUUGUCUUCUGUUCUGCUAGAAUUAAAUCAGGCACACCAAGGUUAACUAUCACUAUCUUCCUAGCUUGAGAAAUUUGAUGGCAGGCUUGAAUAACACCUAUAUUAAACCAUCAGUGCAACACCUAGAUUAGUGUCUGAUUUAAUCAUUGGGACUAUGGUCUAGCCAAGGAGACACAUAAAACUGAUGACUAUCAUGGUUGGUUCAUAUUUUAUAUUUAUCAAUAGAAUCUGGCUGGUAUUAUAAACAGCUUUGCCAAAAUAUGUGUGUUAGUGUUGGUCUUCGGAGAAGCAAACUCUGUGACUGGAUUAGGUUUGUGUACAGUUUCCUAAGGAACCUGUCCACUCUUUUGAGAGGAAAUGCAGAGGUGGUGGAAGGGGUCUAGGGGAGCUGAAUGCAUGUGAGAGAAGUCGGUCCCUGAGUGAAGGAGAAAGGGAGGAGGACUGGGUGGAACUUUCCUAAACUUCUGUGUUGUUCUAUGAAGGUCCAGCAAGGUCACUGGAUCAGAGUCAUGUCAUAGUUUCCCAUCGGGGACCCAGUGACUCCCAGCAGUGGCCCAGAUCUUGUUCUUCUCCUGAGAGUAGAGCACAGGACAUGGCUCCAUCACCAGCCAUGGCAUGGAAGACAGAGCAGUCCUGGGUGCCUGGGUCAGGUGUGUUGUGCUCCCUGCAGAUGGAGG